rnacentral:rRNA from 1 species
UACGGAGGGAGCUAGCGUUGUUCGGAAUUACUGGGCGUAAAGCGCACGUAGGCGGCUUUUUAAGUCAGGGGUGAAAUCCCGGAGCUCAACUUCGGAAUUGCCUUUAAGACUGCAUCGCUUGAAUCAUGGAGAGGUCAGUGGAAUUCCGAGUGUAGAGGUGAAAUUCGUAGAUAUUCGGAAGAACACCAGUGGCGAAGGCGACUGACUGGACAUGUAUUGACGCUGAGGUGCGAAAGCGUGGGGAGCAAACAGG